rnacentral:rRNA from 1 species
ACCAUGCAAGUGGAGCGACGGACCAGGGCUUGCCCUGGGGCCAAGCCGCGAACGGGUGAGUAACACGUGGGUAACCCACCCCGUUGACCGGGACAACCCGAGGAAACUCGGGCUAAUACCGGAUGAGCCCUCCGGACUCCAGUCCGUCGGGGAAAGGUAGCUUCGGCUUCCGCUACGGGAAGGGCCCGCGGCCCAUUAUCUAGUUGGUGAGGUAACGGCUCACCAAGGCAACGAUGGGUAGCUGGUCUGAGAGGACGAUCAGCCACACUGGGACUGAGACACGGCCCAGACUCCUACGGGAGGCAGCAGUGGGGAAUCUUGCGCAAUGCGCGAAAGCGUGACGCAGCAACGCCGCGUGGGGGAAGACGGCCUUCGGGUUGUAAACCCCUUUCAGGAGGGACGAAGGUGUGGCAGUUAAUAGCUGUCCGCACUGACGGUACCUCCACAAGAAGCUCCGGCUAACUACGUGCCAGCAGCCGCGGUAAUACGUACGGAGCAAGCGUUGUCCGGAAUCAUUGGGCGUAAAGCGCGCGUAGGCGGCCCGGUAAGUCCGCUGUGAAAGUCCAGGGCUCAACCCUGGGAUGCCGGUGGAUACUGUCGGGCUAGAGUCCGGAAGAGGCGAGUGGAAUUCCUGGUGUAGCGGUGGAAUGCGCAGAUAUCAGGAGGAACACCUAUAGCGAAGGCAGCUCGCUGGGACGGAACUGACGCUAAGGCGCGAAAGCGUGCGGAGCGAACAGGAUUAGAUACCCUGGUAGUCCACGCCGUACACGAUGGGUACUAGGUGGUGGGGGGUGUCGACUCACGCCGUGACUGCCGAAACGCAUUAAGUACGCCGUCUGCCGAGGAAGGACGACCGGCUAGAUGUCAAUCGAAUUAACUG